rnacentral:lncRNA from 1 species
AACUCGAACUGAACUGAUAAGGAGAUGACCGAUCGAUAUAGGUGCGGUCCCAGAAACUGAACUGACAUGACAAAGAGAUGACCAAUCGUAUAGGUGCGGUCCCGACUCAAACUGACACGAUAAUGACCGAUCGUAUAGGUGCGGUCCCAGAAACUGAACUGACAUGACAGGAAGAUGGCCGAUCGAUAUAGGUGCGGCCCCAACUCAAACUGACACGAUAAUGACCGAUCGUAUAGGUGCGGUCCCAGAAAUUGAACUGACAUGACAAAGAGAUGACCGAUCGUAUAGGUGCGGUCCCGACUCAAACUGACACGAUAAUGACCGAUCGUAUAGGUGCGGUCCCAGAAACUGAACUGACAUGACAAAGAGAUGGCCGAUCGUAUAGGUGCGGCCCCCGACUCAAACUGACACGAUAAUGACCGAUCGUAUAGGUGCAGUCCCGACUCAAACUGACACGAUAAUGACCGAUCGUAUAGGUGCGGUCCCAGAAACUGAACUGACAUGAAAAAGAGAUGACCGAUCGUAUAGGUGCGGUCCCGACUCAAACUGACACGAUAAUGACCGAUCGUAUAGGUGCGGUCCCAGAAACUGAACUGACAUGACAAAAAGAAGGCCGAUCGUAUAGGUGCGGCCCCCGACUCAAACUGACACGAUAAUGACCGAUCGUAUAGGUGCGGUCCCAGAAACUGAACUGACAUGACAAAGAGAUGGUCGAUCGUAUAGGUGCGGUCUCGACUCAAACUGAUACGAUAAUGACCGAUCGUAUAGGUGCGGUCCCAGAAACUGAACUGACAUGACAAAGAUGAUGGCCGAUCGAUAUAGGUGCGGCCCCGACUCAAACUGACACGAUAAUGACCGAUCGUAUAGGUGCG